rnacentral:rRNA from 1 species
UACGUAGGGUGCGAGCGUUGUCCGGAAUUACUGGGCGUAAAGGGCUCGUAGGUGGCCAACUAAGUCAGACGUGAAAUCCCCAGGCUCAACUUGGGAACUGCGUCUGAUACUGGAUGGCUUGAAUUCGGGAGAGGGAUGCAGAAUUCCAGGUGUAGCGGUGAAAUGCGUAGAUAUCGUAAGGAAGACCAGUGGCGAAGGCGGGUCUCUGGACAGUUCCUGACGCUGAGGCACGAAGGCCAGGGGAGCAAACGGG